rnacentral:rRNA from 1 species
AGUCGACGGAAAGGCCCAGCUUGCUGGGUACUCGAGUGGCGAACGGGUGAGUAACACGUGGGUGAUCUGCCCUGCACUCUGGGAUAAGCCUGGGAAACUGGGUCUAAUACCGGAUAUGACCAACUGUCGCAUGGUGGUUGGUGGAAAGCUUUUGCGGUGUGGGAUGGGCCCGCGGCCUAUCAGCUUGUUGGUGGGGUAAUGGCCUACCAAGGCGACGACGGGUAGCCGACCUGAGAGGGUGAUCGGCCACACUGGGACUGAGACACGGCCCAGACUCCUACGGGAGGCAGCAGUGGGGAAUAUUGCACAAUGGGCGCAAGCCUGAUGCAGCGACGCCGCGUGAGGGAUGACGGCCUUCGGGUUGUAAACCUCUUUCACCAGGGACGAAGCGGAAGUGACGGUACCUGGAGAAGAAAGCACCCGGCCAACUACGUGCCAGCAGCCGCGGUAAUUACGAGGUGCGAGCGUUGUCGGAAUUACUGGGGCGUAAAAAAGCUCAAAAGGCGGUUUGGCCCCGUCGUCUGUGAAAUUCUUGCAACUCCAUUUGCAGGGGUGCAGGGGAAAACGGGCAGACUUUGAGUACUACAGGGGGAAACUG